GAUGAACGCUGGCGGCGUGCCUAAUACAUGCAAGUCGAGCGAACAGACGAGGAGCUUGCUCCUCUGACGUUAGCGGCGGACGGGUGAGUAACACGUGGAUAACCUACCUAUAAGACUGGGAUAACUUCGGGAAACCGGAGCUAAUACCGGAUAAUAUAUUGAACCGCAUGGUUCAAUAGUGAAAGACGGUUUUGCUGUCACUUAUAGAUGGAUCCGCGCCGCAUUAGCUAGUUGGUAAGGUAACGGCUUACCAAGGUAACGAUGCGUAGCCGACCUGAGAGGGUGAUCGGCCACAACGGAACUUGGACACGGUCCAGAACCCUACGGGAGGCAGCAGUAGGGAAUCUUCCGCAAUGGGCGAAAGCCUGACGGAGCAACGCCGCGUGAGUGAUGAAGGUCUUCGGAUCGUAAAACUCUGUUAUUAGGGAAGAACAAAUGUGUAAGUAACUAUGCACGUCUUGACGGUACCUAAUCAGAAAGCCACGGCUAACUACGUG
rnacentral:rRNA from 1 species